rnacentral:pre_miRNA from 1 species
AAUGUCCGGGUGCAGCCAAGGAUGACUUGCCGCCGGCCAACCGUUAGACCCCCAUGCAUGGAUCAUCCGUCGGCAAGUUGUCCUUGGCUACAUUCUUCAUUCU